AAGAAAGAGGCAAAAUUUUGGCAAGUCAUUGGGAGACCUAGCAACAAAAUUCGCUUCCCCCCCACUCCUUUCCCAUCCAUUUGAAAUGCAGGUUGCCUCAAAGCAGCAUGAAAUCCCUGGGAACUUCUUGUGCCCUUUCAACAAAUCAGCUCGAUGAAGGGAGAUGACUCAGUCUCCUCUGCCCCUGAAAGCCAGAGCCAACUCUGGCUACCAGCACUCUUGGCUUCACAAAAGAACAAUUUACCCUGGUUCCCUCCCAGACUCCAGUCAGUCUCCCUGAAACUUCAAGUGGCAUCAAAGAGGGUCUUCAGCAAAAAGAGAGAACAGCUGGUCUCAAUCUUUUCUCUGACAGUUUUUCACAUGCUGGGGGACUUAAAAGGAUUUGUCCUACUUCAUUAGCAAAGUGCCUCAGGGAAAGUACACAGGAUAACUGAGAAAAUUUCUACUGAGCAUGAUUGAAGAAAACUCACCAAAAAAAGAAGUCAAGGCAAGAGAGAAUGGAGCAGAACAACAACAAUCUGAGCAAAUCAUGGCUGGAAACUUUUCAAAUGUGCUGGAAAACACCAAUUAUAGCUUGGAAGAUACAAUAUUUUAAAAAUAUUCAUUUUACCCAAAUUAAUAUUCCAUUUUAAUCUCAAUCAUAAUCGAACAGCUGGUUUUAUAGAAAUUGAUAAUGUUGUAUUAAAAUGUACAUGAAUAUGUAUGCAACCUAGAUUUUACCAAACAAUCUUAGAGGAAACAAUAAAGAAAAACCUGGAAGGCUUUCACUAUUUGACUGUAAGAAUUACUCUAGAUUAAUUUAGUCAAGACAACAUAGCACUGUCACAAAGAUAAAUAAAUGGAUCCAUGAAAUAGAAUGGAGUGUCCAAAUGAACCCAUGUUUAUACGGCGAAUUCAGUCUCAAUAAAGAUGCCAAUUUAGUUCAAUAAGAAAAUGACAACCUUGUCAAUAAAUGGUGCUGGAUUAACUGACUAUCCAUAUGAAAAUGAAAAUGUUCAGCUCCUAGUUUCAUCAUGCACAAAAAUUAAUUUGUGAUAGCUCAGAAGUCCACACAUAAAAUCAAAAUCUAUAAUGCCUUGAGACAAAAGCAUAAAAAAAAUUUUUAUUAACAUUACAAACAUUAAGGAAAUAAACAGGCAAGCCAAAGUAUAAAAAAAUUCAAAAAUAUGUAUUUACAAAACAUAUAUUUGACAAAGGACUUGUAUCUAGAAUAGACUCUUAAUUCCCACAGUUCAAAAUGUGAGCAGAAGACAUGGAAAAGUUGCAAAUUAAGUUAUAUACAAGACCAAUAAAUACAUAAAAAUUACUCAGCAAAUUUAAAUGAUUUAUCACUGAAUUCCUAUAAAACGGCCAGAAUGUAGAGCUCUAACAACACUGAUAUUGCAAAGAUGUGAACAACUGGAAUGCUCACACUGGUAAGAACAUAGAAUUUCAUAUAACCACUUUCAUAUAAAAGUUUGACAAUUUUUCUUCAAUUGCCUAUCCUUAGACCCAGUUUUCUUUUCCUAGGUAUAUAUAGAAGAAAAGUGAAAGCAUAUGUCUACACAAAGACUUAGACCAGUAUAUUCACAGCAACUUUAACAAUUAUAGCCAAACACUGGAAACAAUUCAAAUGCACAUCUGCAGAAAAAUGGAUUAACAAGCUAUUGUAUAGUCAUAAAAUAGAAUAUUACCCAAUAAUAACAAUGUCUGACCUGUUGAAUCACUUAACGACCUGGAUUACUCUCAUAAAUAAUAUGUAGAGUGAAAGAAAGAUAAGAAGAACACAGGUUGAACUAUUUUAUUUUUGUAAAGUUUUAGAACAAGCAAACCUUAUCCAAGGCAGAAGAAAAUGGCAAUACUGGUUGUCUGCUUUGGGAUAAAGGGGUAUGACUGGAAGGGACUACAGCAAAGCCUUCAGGAGAGACAAGAGGGCCCUGUUAUAAUGAGGUGUGGAUUGUGGGUUACCUGGUUGUAUUCAGUUUUUGAAUUGUACAUUGAAUGUUUGUGUAUCUUAGUGUAGGUGAAUUACACCUCAAUGAAAAAAAAUUAAUGGCUCCCUGAUGCCUGUGUAUCCUGACUAGGAGAUACCUCCUAUCAGAGGCUGACAGAUACCUCAUAUAGGAGAACUUUGGCUACCAACUGGUGAGUACCCUUUGAGAUAAAGCUACCAGAGAAAGGAACAGGCAGCAAUCUUUGCUGUUCUGAAGCCCCCACUGGUGAUUCCCAGGCAAUCAGGGUCUGGAGUGGACCUCCAGCAAACUCCAGCAGAGGAGCCUGACUGUUAGAAGGGAAGUUAACAAACAGAAAUAGUUUCAACAUCAACAGAAAGGAUGUCCACUCAGAGACCUCAUCCAAAGGCCACCAACUUCAAAUAUCAAAGGUAGAUACAUUCACGAGGAUGGGAAGAAACCAGCGCAAAAAGGCUGAAAUCUCCAAAAACUAGAACAUUUCUUCUUCUCCAAGGGAUUGCAACUUCUCACCAGCAAGGGAACAAAACUGGAUGGAGAAUAAGUUUGAUGAACUGACAGGUAAUAACAAACGUCUCUGAGCUAAAGGAGCAUAUUCUAACCAAAUGCAAGGAAGCUAAGAAACUUGAAAAAAGGUUAGACGAAAUGCUAACUAGUAUAUCCAGCCUAGAGAAGAAUAUAAACAACUUGAUGGAGCUGAAAAACACAGCACAGGAACUUUGGGGAGCAUACACAAUUUUCAAUAGCUGAAUUGAUCAAGCAAAAGAAAGAAUAUCAGAGACUGAAGAUCAACUCAAUGAAAUAAAGAAUGCAAGAUUAGAGAAAAAAGAAUAAAAAGAAAUGAACAGACCUCCAAGAAAUAUGGAAUUAUAUUAAAAGACCAAAUCUACAUUUGAUCACUGUAUCUGAAAGUGAUGGAGAGAAGGAAACCAAAUUGGAAAACAUUUUGAGGAUAUUACCCAGGAGAACUCUCCCAACCUAGCAAGGCAGGACAACAUUCAAAUUCAGGAAAUACAGAGAACUCCACAAAGAUACUCCUUGAGAAGAGCAACUCCAAGACAAAAUCAUCAGAUUCCCUAGGGUUGAAAUGAAGGAAAAAACGCUAAGGGCAGCCAGACAGAAAGGUGGGGUUACCCACAAAGGGAAGCCAAUCAGAGUCACAGCAGAUCUCUCAGCCAAAACCCUAGAAGCCAGAGGGGAGUAAGGACCAAUACUCAACAUCCUUAAAGAAAAGAAUUUAUAACCCAGAAUUUUAUAUCCAGCCAAACCAAGCCUUAUAAGCAAAAAAGAAAUCAAAUCUUUUACAGAAAAGCAACUGCUUAGAGAUUUCAUGACCACCAGGCCUGCCUUACAAGAGCUCCUGAAGGAAGCACUCAACAUGGAAAGGAACAACCAGUACCAGCUACUGCAAAAAACAUAUCAAAUUGUAAAGACCAUGGACACUAUGAAGAAACUCCAUCAACUAAUGGGCAAAACAACCAGCUAGCAUCAAAAUGGCAGGAUCAAAUUAACACAUAACAAUAUUAACCUUUGGUGUAAAUGGGCUAAAUGCCCUAGUUAAAAGACACAGACUGGCAAACUGUAUAAAGAGUCAAGAUCUAUCGGUGUGCUGUAUUCAGGAGACUCAUCUAAAGUGCAAAGAAACACAUAGGUUAAAAUAAAGGGAUGGACGAAGAUUUACCAAGCAAAUGGAGGGUGAAAAAAGCAGGGAUUGCAAUCCUAGUCUCUGAUAAAACAGACUUUAAACCAACAAAGAUCAAAAGAGAUGAAGAAGGGUAUUACAGAGUGGUAAAGAGAUCAAUGCAACAAGAAGAGCUAAUAAUCCUAAAUAUAUAUGCAUCCAAUACAGAAGCACACAGAUACAUAAAGCAAGUCCUUAAUGACCUAUAAAGAGACUUAGACUCUUAUGCAAUAGUAGCAGGAGACUUAACACCCCACUGUGAAUAUUACACAGAUCAACAAGACAGAAAAUUAUCAAGGAUAUCCAGGACUUGAACUCAGAUCUGGAUCAAGUGAACUUAAUAGACAUCUACAUAACUCUCUAUCCCAAAUCCACAGAAUAUACAUUCUUCUCAGCGCCACACUGCACUUAUUCUAAAAUUGACCACAUAAGUGGAAGUAAAAAACCCCUCAGUAAAUGCCAGAGAAUGGAUAUUGUAACAAACAGUCUCUCAGAGCACAGUGCAAUCAAAUUACUACUCAGGAUUAAGAAACUCACUCAAAACUGCACAACUAUAUGGAAACUGAACAAUCUGCUCCUGAAUGAUUACUGGAUAAAUAAUGAAAUGAAGGCAGAAAUAAAGAUGUUCUUUGAAACCAAUGAGAAUGAAGACACAAUAUGCCAGAAUCCCUGGGACACAUUUAAAGCAGAGUCUAGAGGUAAAUUUAUAGCACUAAAUGCCCACAAGAGAAAUGAGGAAAGAUCCAGAAUUGACACCCUAACAUCACCAUUAAAAUAAAUAUAGGAGCAAGAUCAAACAAAUUCAAAAGCCAGCAGAAGACAAGAAAUAACUAAGAUCAGAGCAGACCUAAGGAGACAGAGACACAAAAAACCCUUCAAAUAAUCAAUGAAUUCAGGAGCUGGUAUUUUGAAAAGAUCAACAAAAUAGAUAGACCCCUAGCCUUAAUAAUAAGGAAGAAAAGAAAGAAGAAUCAAAUAGAUGCAAUAAAAAAUGAUAAAGGGGAUAUCACCGCUGAUUCCAUAGAAAUACAAACUACCAUCAGAGAAUAUUACAAACAGCUCCAUGCAAAUAAACCAGAAAAUCUAGAAGAAAUGGAUAAAUUCCUGGACAUCUACACCUCCCAAGACUAAACCAAGAAGUUAAAUCCCUGAAUAGAUGAAUGACAAGGUCUGAAAUUGAGGCAGUAAUUAACAAAUUAAUAGUCUACCAACCAAAAAAGUACAGAACCAGAUGGGGGCACAGGUGACUUCUACCAGAUGUGCAAAGAGGAGCUGAUACCAUUCCUUCUGAAACUAUUCCAAACAAUACGAGAAGAGGGAAUCCUUCCUAACUCAUUUUAUGAGACCAACAUAAUCCUGAUACCAAAUCCUGGCAGAGACACAACUAAAAAAGAAAAUUUCAAGCCAAUAUCACUGAUGAACAUCUAUGUGAAUAUCCUCAAUGAAAUACUGGCAAACCAAAUCCAACAGCACAUCAAAAAGCUUAUCAAAUGUGAUCAAGUUGGCUUCAUCCCUGGGAUUCAAGGCUGGUUCAACAUAUAAAAAUCUAUAAAUGUAAUCCAUCACAUAAACAGAACCAAAGACAAAAACCACAUGAUCAUCUCAAUAGAUGCAGAGAAGGCCUUCGACAAAAUUCAACAGUCCUUUAUGCUAAAAUCUCUCAAUAAACUAGGUAUUGAUGGAAUGUAUCUCAAAAUAAUGAGCUAUUUAUGACAAACCCAAAGCCAAUAUCAUACUGAAUGGGCAAAUAUACAAGCAUUCCCUUUGAAAACUGGCACAAGACAAGGAUGUCCCCUCUCACCACUCCUGUUUAACAUAGUAUUGGAAGUUCUGGUCAGGGCCAUCAGCCAAGAGAAAGAAAUAAAGUGUAUUCAGUUAGGAAAAGAAGAAGUCAAAUUGUCUCUUUUUGCAGACAACAUGAUUGUAUACUUAGAAGACCCCAUCAUCUCAGCCCAAAAUCUCCUGAAACUGAUAAGCAACUUCAGCAAAGUUUCAGGAUACAAAUUCAAUGUGAAAGAGUCACAGGCAUUCCUACACACCAGUAAUACACAAACAGAGAGCCAAAUCAUAAGUGAAUUCCCAUUCACAAUUGCUACAGAGAGAAUAAAAUGCCUAGGAAUACAACUGACAAGGGAUGUGAAAGACCUCUUCAGGGAGAACUACAAACCAUCACUCAAGGAAAUAAGAGAGGACACAAACAGAUGGAAAAACAUUCCAUGCUAAUGGCUAGGAAGAAUCGAUAUUGUGAAAAUGGUCAUACUGCCCAAAGUAAUUAACAGAUUCAAUGCUAUCCCCAUCAAGCUACCAUUGAUUUUAUUCACAGAACUGGAGAAAACCACCUUAAACUUUAUACGGAAUCAUGAAAGAGCACACAUAGCCAACACAAUUAUAAGCAAAAAAAAAAAAGGAGCCAUUAUGCUAUCUGACUUUAAACUAUACUACAAGGCUACAACAGUCAAAACAGCAUAGCACUGGUAACAAAACAGAGAUAAAGACCAAUGCACAUAAUAGAGGCCUCAGAAAUAACAUCACACAUCUACAACCAUAUAAUCUUUGAGAAAUCUGACAAAAACAAGCAAUGAAGAAAGGAUUCUCUAUUAAUAAAUGAUGUUGGGAAAACUGGCCAGUCAUAUGCAAAAAGCUGAAACUGGAUCCCUUCCUCAUGCAUUAUACAAAAAUUAACUCCAGAUGGAUUAAAGAUUUAAACAUAGGACCUAACACCAUAAAAACUCUAGAAGAAAACCGAGGCAAUACCAUUCAGGACAUAGGCAUGAGCAAAGACUUCACGACUAAAACACCCAAAGCAAUGGCAACGAAAGCCAAAAUAGACAAAUGGGAUCCAAUUAAACUAAAGAGCUGCUGCACAGCAAAAGAACCUAUCAUUAGAGUCAAUGGUUAACCAACAGAAUAGGAAAAAAUAUUUGCAAACUACCCAUAUGACAAAGGCCUAAUAUCCAGAAUCUACAAAGAACUUAAACAAAUUUACAAGAAAAAAACAAAUAAUCCCAUCAAAAGUGGUCGAAGGAUAUGAACAGGCACUUCUCAAAGGGAGACAUUUAGGUAAUCAACAAACAUAUGAAAAAAAGCUCAUCAUUACUGGUCAUUAGAGAAAUGAAAAUCAAACCCGCAUUGAGUUACCAUCUCAUGCCAGUUAGAAUGGUGAUCAUUAAAAAAAUCAGGAGACAACAGAUGCUGGAGAGGAUGUGGAGAAAUAAGAAUGCUUUUACACUGCUGGUAGGAGUUUAAAUUAGUUCAACCAUUAUGGAAGACAGUGUGGCGAUUCCUCAAAGAUUUAAAACUAGAAAUACCAUUUGACCCAGCAAUGCCAUUACUGGGUAUAUACCUAAAGGAGUAUAAAUCAUUCUAUUAUGAAGACAUAUGGACACAUAUGUUUACUGUGGCACUGUUCACAAUAGCAAAGACUUGGAACCAACUCAAAUGCCCAUCAAUGAUAAGCUGAAUAAAAAAAAUGUGGCACAUCUGCACCAUGGAAUACUAUGCAGCCAUAAAAAAGGAUGCAUUAAUGUCUUUUGUGGGCACACAGAUAAAGCUGGAAACCAUCAUUCUCUGCAAACUGACAUGAGAACAGGAAACCAGACACUACAUGUUCUCAUUCAUUGGCAGGUGUUGAACAAUGAGAACACAUGGACACAGGGAGGAGAACAUCAUACAUUGGAGCUUUUUAGGGGGUGGGAGGCUCAGGGAUGGAUAGCAUUAGAAAAAAUGCCUAAUGUAGAUGACAGGGUGAUGGAUGCAGCAACCACCAUGGCAUGUGUAUACCUAUGUAACAGACCUGCAUGUUCUGGACAUGUACCCCAGAACCUUAAGUAUAAUAAAAAAAUAAGAUAAAAUAAAAUAAUAUCACUAAUAGUACUAAUGAUAAUCAAAUUGUAGAUACAAAAUGGUUGAAGGUAUAGAGAUAACACAAAUGGCAGAAUGUUGAUAACUGUACAAUCUGAAUGACAGGUCCAUGGGGUGUCAGUGUACUAUUUUAUUUAGUUUUUAUGCUUUUAUUUAGAAAAUGUAUAAUAAAAAGUUAAAAAUAAUUUGAUAUGCAAUACAGUUACAUGACAAUUAUUAGAAAAUGACAUUAUUCAGUAAUCAUUAAAAACUCAAAUUUGUAGGCUGGGCAUUUUUCUUUUUUUUACAGGUUUUUUUUCAAACCUGUAAUCCCAGCACUUUGGGAGGCCAAGGUGGGCGAAUCAGGAGGUCAACAGUUUGAGACCAGUCUGACCAAUGUGGUGAAACCCCAUCUCCACAAAAAUACAAAAAUUAGCCAGGCAUGGUGGUGCACGCCUGUAAUCCUAGCUACUCAGGAAGCUGUGGCAGAAGAAUUGCUUGAACCUGGGAGGUGGAGGUUGCAGUGAGCCAAGAUCACACCAUUGCCCUCCAGCCUGGACAACAGAGUGAGACUCUGUCUAAAAAAAUUAAAUAAAUAAAUUACUAAAAAAUGAAAACAAAAAAACGCCUCAAAUUUAUAUUAGAUUUUAUCAAAAACAAUUAAAUCUAAUUGCUCACACACAUAAAUAAAAUAGCUUUUGUAUCUUAAAAAUCAUAUGGCACAAACAACCCAAUUAAAUAUUCACAAGAAAUUUAAGUAGAUAGUUUACUAAAAGACACGAAUGGAAAAUAAGCAUAUGAAAAGAUUCUUAACCUCAUUUGUCAUUAGACAAAUAAAAAUCCAAACCACAAUAAGUGUCACUUUAUAUUCAUUACAAUAGCUAAAAUAAAACAGAUUGAAAAUACUAAGUGUUGGCAGCUAUGCAAAACAACUGUUGGGAAUACAAAAUUAAACACACUUACCAAACCACCCAGAAAUUUCACAUCUAAGCAUUACACAAGAGGAAUAAGAGAAUAUGUUCACACAAAGAUUUGUGAAGGAAUGUUCACAGAUAGCAGUUUUAUUCUUAAUAAUAAAAAACCAGAAACAAUCCACAUGUUCACCAACUGCAGAAGAGACAAAUUUGGGAUUAUAUGUACUAUAGAAUGCAAUUCAGCAAUGGAAAGGAACAAACUCUUUGUAUUCGCCUCAUAAUUAAGCCUCAAAAGCAUUGUGUGAAGCAUCACAAAAUAAGCCAGUAACAAAAUAUUACAUAUCCUAUAAUUUUGCUUAUAUGAAAUGCUAGGAAAGGGAAAAAAAUCAGUGGUUGCCAGGGUUCUGUGGGUGGAAGGAGGCAACUGAUUGGAAAGGGAUGUGUGAGAACUUUUUAGGAUGAUGGAAAUAUUUCCUAUCAUGAUUACAGUAGAAGUAACAUUAUUGUGUAAAUUUGACAAAACCUAUGGAAUUGAACAAGUUAAAAGAGAAGAUUUUAUAACUUAAAAAGUGAAUUGGGAACAUGCUUCUACAUAUACAGACUCUAUCUUCCAUGGGAAGUUUAAUUUUUUUCCUGGUACUGUUUCUGAAAGAACAGCCAGUAUGAUCACAGAAAAUCACAUUAAACAUGAAGAUGCAGAAUGGAAACCAGGCCUACACUUCAGCACAGGCACUAAGAGGCUCAGGAAACACUAUGCUCUACUUAGACUCAGUCUUAUGACACAAUCAUAUUAAAAAGUUAUAGCUCUGAAAUGCCAACAAACUGUGUGGCUUUAAAUAUACCAUCUUCAAAUCAGUUCUAAGUAAAGGCCAACUUCUUACGUGUUAUCCUACUUGCUGGCUAUACCUUAUGGUCUCCAAGUGCUUCUCUGAGAAGUUGUUGCAUGGUGUUAUUUCACAGUCUUCUGCCCUUCUUCUGAGUCAGAGAAGAACUCAGUUGAGAAUUAAAGGGGGAAAAAUGAAAUGCAGAAAAUAACCUUGUCUGUAUUGGGAGACAAAUGGAGCUAAGAAGGCAACCAACUGAGAUUAAUGUUGGUAUCAACCUAUCCACAAAGAUUUUUGUUGUUGUUUGCAAUUGUCUUAAGAAUGAAAAAUUCAAAAUGCAUUUAAGUAACGUUCCUAGUAACUCAGAAUGUGAAUAGCCUUUCUUAUAUCAUCUUUUGCAUUUUUGUAUCAUAUUUUUUAUUUGACAAAUGAAGAUAAUAUACAUAUUUAUGCUGUACAAUGUGAUGUUUUGCUAUAUGCAUCCCACACUGUGGAAUGGCUAUAUCAACCUGUUUAACAUAUGCAGUACCUCGCAUGCUUUUAUUCUUUGUAGUGAGAACACUUAAAAUCUACUCUCGGCAAUUUUCCUGAAUGAGUAUAUUGUGACAAUAAUUACAAUGAUGUACACCAAUCUCUUGAACUUAUUCCUCCUGUCCAGCUGCAAUUUUAUAUCAUUUGGUCAACUUAAACUUUAAGUUUCUAGUUGCCUUUUUUGGUACCAGAAGUCAUAGAAUUCAAAAAGUCAGAGGGGACAAAGGGCAUCACUUGGUUUUAGUAAACCAAGUGAUGAUUUUUAGUACAGCAUCACUUUUAGAAGGCUGCCAAUUCUGAGGCUGCUAACAGUUUCCUCAAUGUGUUUACACCCAUAAGAAGGGUUUGUCAACAUUACAGGAAACACUGACAGAGAAGAUCUAGGGUGUGGCUGCUGCCAAACUCAAUGCGAAAACUCACCAUUCUUGGAAUUCUUUUUUUUUUU